UACGUAGGGGGCAAGCGUUGUCCGGAUUUAUUGGGCGUAAAGAGCGUGUAGGCGGCCUGAAAGGUCAGCUGUGAAAACUCGAGGCUCAACCUCGAGACGUCGGUUGAAACCAUCUGGCUAGAGUCCGGAAGAGGAGUGUGGAAUUCCCGGUGUAGCGGUGGAAUGCGCAGAUAUCGGGAAGAACACCCGUGGCGAAGGCGGCACUCUGGGACGGUACUGACGCUGAGACGCGAAAGCGUGGGGAGCGAACAGG
rnacentral:rRNA from 1 species